UGAUCCUAGAAAGCCACAAGAGCCCAUGCCUACCCCCUGACUCGUCUGGAACCCUGGGAAGAUGAAGACGCUGAAGAAUAUCAUCAACGGGAAAGAGUGCCAGGGAUCAUGCUGCCAGUCUGAGAGGCUGGAAGACCACGGCUGUGGUAGCAUUAGCCAUCGCUUGUGCAAUACAGCAUCGGAGUAUCCACAAAUUAUCACCGCCAGUUUUCAUUACACAGUCAAGGGAAGCAGAUGCUAGGGAAGUUCACUCAGUAGGCAACAGCAGGAUUAGAACUUACCCUGGGUUCUAUACUCCAAAGGCCAUAGAGGAGAUUAUGACCCAUGAGGACCUCAGUACAGCACCCCAACCUAAAGGAUGAGGAAUCUCCUGAUUCUGGAGCAGACCUACCUCCCCUUCCUUAAUCAUCAGAAGCUCCUCUACAGUAUCCCUGUACUAUCACUCGUUCCUUCCCAUCCUCUGCUUCUUAGAGUAUGUCCGCUCCUUCUUUCAUGGUGUUCCUUAAGCCUUAUAGGGGGUUGAUGUAGCUGUCCCACAUCGGGCUGAGCACUCAGGAAUCACUUUUUCUCAGCCCUUUGGUUUUUUGAGUCUCUGAAUUAACUUCAGCCCACUGCAGAAGCUGAGAGCACCACAGAUCUAUGGUUAUGAAUGCCCAGCAACCAUUAGGCAAAACGUAAAGACCCAAGGCAGAAGGCUGGAAGGGAAGCAGAUGCUUGCACGAUGGGCUGAGCCAUUCUGAACUGCUGUUCCCACCUGUAUGACUCCUGCAUACUGACUGUUAAACAUCCCCAGCCUCAAAAGUUCAGAAGUACGGGUGCAUGUUUCAUAACCUGGAAGGACAUCCAUGGCAAAUCACCAAGGGAUAGAAAGGUUUCUAAGUAAUAUGAAAGACAAGAAUCUGGGGGCAGCAAAGCUGGGUUCUCUGAUGCAGGGUUCUCUCUGGAGACAACUGUGCAAACAUUGACAGGAAUUACAAGUCACCUGAGACCCGAUGGGAAGACAACCCACUCCAUGGUGGCUGACUCAGCGGUUCCCGGGAACUUUGCUCCUCGACAUGUGGACCUGACCAUUGGUUACUUCCUCACAACACAGAAGCUGGCUUCUUCCAGAGCAGGCAAUGUGUGGGGCACUGAACACCACUUCUUGGAAAGCAGAGUCUGAAAGCACUUGUGAGCUGUCACAGGAGCCAUGACAGAGACCUGAGGUCCCCAACACCUUUGGUCUUCCUAAAGGGACCACGGCCUAUCUGGAAGAAGUGCCACGUGGCUGGACAGCUCAGUGAGUAUUCUCAGGAGGCUGUGGCUCCUUUCUCUCCUGCCCUGCCUUACUUUGUUGUUGUUGUUGUUUUGUUUUAUUUUGUUUUGUUUGUUUGUUUUUUCUUUAUCCUUGAUCCCCUGAUAUUGUACCACAGAAACAUUUUAACAAAUCCGCAUCUCAAAAUCAGCACCGAGAAACUUGAGUUAUGAGAAAAAUGGAUUGUUUGUAUGUUAUAUUUGAGAAAAAACCUCUUGCAUCCCAGGCUAGUCUACAACUCAGUAUGUAGCCCAGGCUAGCCUCAGACAUGAAGCAAUCCUCUCGUCUCAGCCUCAUGAGUGCUGAAAUCCUAGGGAGGAGUCACCACACCUAGCUUAAGACAUGAACUUAAAACCUUGAAGUCACUAACAUGGGCAUGCACAACUUCUCGACGGUUCUGUCUGUGUGCACUGUUUAGACUUCCAAAUUCUAUCCUGGGCCCUUCACCAUCACUCGGACUCUUCCUUAAUGGUGACUGAUAAUGGGGAGCUUCCUUAACCUGGCGAUGUCUGCAGGGAAGAAUUAAGCUCUGAGCCCUGUUGAUUAUUCUAUGCCCUAUACUCUGGACUUCUAUAUUCUAUUCUGGAUUAUUCAUCCAGCCUGGUCCCUAGACUUUCCCACAGGUAACACUGACUUUUCAAGAUAGCACAGCAGCAUCCACAGCUAAAGGCUGCAAUUCCAGCCCUGUUGCUCCAGUCACAAAGUCUCCUGACCUGUGAGCUCUACAUUGUCACCCCAGGCCUCUGUGGAUGUGCUGAUACCUCGGCAAGGCACAGAAGACUUCCAAGUGCAACUGCACAAACUUGCUAGGCCAUGGACAACAAGAACUCAUCCGACUCCCCAUCGAGCCACGUUAAGGAGAAUAUGUGUCUCGAAGCAUCAGUUCCCACGUUCUUCGGUUCCUUCAUAGCUACCUGGAUGUUUCUGCAGAGUCCUGUGGUUCAAACUUAUGACACUCUGUAAGUGGUAGAAAGCAAGAGUAAGGGUCUUUGACUCUUUUGUCCCUUUUCUGCUUCUCUUCCAGUCUGUGUGGUGCUGGGGAGAAUCUGGGGAUUUGGGCAUGCCUGGAAGGGGCUCUCCCAGUGACAUCUCCAGCACCUGUAUCUUGGUCUAUACAGAAACUGCCUUCUCCCACUACGAGAUCAAUGAACUUAGAAAUCUCUAUCUACACAACACCCUACUUUCAAGACCAUUGCCCAACAAGGAGUUAUCUUGGAGAUUUAAAAUAAACAAUAGUUUCCCUUUUGAGGUGCUUCCUGACCUCUCUGAAACACUAACACCCCUUUGCUUACUGAGAGGAGAGCACAAAUGAACACAAUGUGGAUAUUCAUCCAAAACACACUCGUUCUGUCCCCUUGGAACACGUAAGGCGUUUUCUCAGAAAUGGCCUCGUCGCCAUCAACCCUCUCUGGGGAGCACCAGCAUCUUGCCUGUUAACUGCACCUCCCUCUCUUCCUUCAGAACUCAAUCCCAAAUGCUCAGUUUUCCCUUUUUGGACAGCUCAGUUUGGACCCACUCUUCUGGCUUUGAACUUAGCAAUUUUUCCAGACUGUGACCUCCAGUCUUUAAACACAGAAUAAGAAAGGUUUCUUUCGGGGGUUGGGGAUUUAGCUCAGUGGUAGAGUGCUUGCCUAGCAAGCGCAAGGCCCUGGGUUCGGUCCCCAGCUCCUAAAAAAAAAGAAAAGAAAAAAAAAAAAGAAAGGUUUCUUUCCAGAAACAUUUCCUAAGGAAAGAGAAGUGAAAAGGAGGUACAUUUUAAGUCAUGCUAAGAAAUUACAUGAGAAGUCACUUUGCAAAUUGUCAUGCACUACAUACAUACCUAUCAAAUACUAUCCCCCAAAAGAAGCUGAGAAUGGCUUUUUUCUUUCUAUUGUCCCUCUAUAUACUUGCCUUUGUGAUAACAUUUGUCCCAGGGCCCAGGAAGGAGAACCUUAGGGUCAGAAGAUGUCUUCUUUAAGUCUUUAGAGGAAAAGGGUAGCCCCAGAGAAGGUACCUGUGGAAAGGUAUUGCAGACAUCUCUCAUAGCCAGCCACUGGCUUCAGGCCUCUGCUGGCAGACUGGGAUUAGAAAAUGCAGCUUACAGACCCUAUCUAGAGAGUCCAGGUCACAGAGUGAGAUGCGCUCAUGAGAACCUCAGAGCCGCCACUGGUCGUUUCUGUGGCCCUGGGCAGAGAUCCACCCAGGCUGCUGUCCAAAUUCUCUCUGCUGAAUAGAAGAGGAACUGAUUUAUAUCUCCAGCAGGUAUGCCAGAGAAAAUUCAAAUUGAUCAAAAAUUAAAUAUUCAUAGGACAUUAUUCAUUAAGAUUCAUCUCACCGAGUGGAUGAAAUGAGGCAAGGGAAGAAAUUAGCUUGCUUGAGAGUGUCAAAGUGAUUAUGUGAU